rnacentral:piRNA from 1 species
UCUCAUCCCUCUGUCACUGUCACUAGA